rnacentral:lncRNA from 1 species
GUGGGAGCUGGACUUCCUGUCAGCCCUGGCGAGCUUGGCGGUUCUUUCUCCCGUACCAAUCGGCGGUGUGUACGGAUUCACUUGAGUUCUCUCCUUCUGUUUGGUAAUGUAGGGUCACAGGACACACAACCAGUUUGUCUGUUUGCUUUGUUUUCACUCGUCAGAUUUAAUUUCUCUUGAAAAUUCAAAACAACAUCCAAAUAUAUAUGGCCAAGUAUUGAACAAGGAUGUGAGUUUAACAAUAAGUUGAGAAGUCUUGGGAAUUUGUGAAUGUUUGAAUGUUCUGUUAUGCGUUAUUCUCUUAACUAGUACUCACUGUUAGUCACUUAGAAUUCUUUUAAAUAGGUAAAAUAAUUCAGAUUACAAAGAAAACUGGUUAUGAUAAGAAAACUAACUUGGAGUUGAUGAGGUAGCUCUGUAGACCAGGCUGGCCUCAAACUCAUAGACCCGCCUGCCUCCACCUCCCAAGUGCUGGAAUUAAAGGUGUGCACCACCACAUCCUGG